AGGUAGACUUUUACCCUGUCUCCCAGGGUGAGAAGGUCCAAUACCCCUCAUUGGUCAAGAAGCUGGUGAAGUUUGUGGCACCCAGAUUCAAAGAGGUGUAUCUGUACCACCUGACCCAAUCCUGCCUACACUUGGACCCUGACGGGCAUUGUGGUGGCCAGUACUAUCCAGAGGAGAGAGAAGGAGUGACUCCAGGACUUAUAUGCCCACAAGCCAAAAGAAGAUCAAGAUCUGAGUGGGAACUGUGGAAAGCAUGUCAUGCGAGCCCCUGCCGCCCUUGAAACUCUGCGUUCCUCCUCCUCAAAGAACAGUGCCUGAAGGUCCUGGCUGUGGCCCUGGCUGGCCAUCUUGCUUCCUGGUCACGGUGGUGGCCACUGUGCUGGUCCUGUCCAAGAUGACCUGUACAUCAUUCCAUGAAUGACACGUGACAACAGCUUCCCAGUGUAAUAAGCACAUUUAACCCAGCACUUGUCAGCCCCACUGUUCUGUUGGAAGUGUUCUAUCUCACUGAUCUUGCCUCUCCUAAAGCAAGGGACAACUCCUGGCACUCCGCUGCAGAGGCCCUUGAAGCCUGUUGGAAUUUUAGUGAAAUGAGAUGCCUGGCUUAAGCCAUGUUGCCUGGCUUCUCAAGUACCAGCGGACAUAUUACUAGCAAGGAAGAAGGCUAGCAGCAAGAAUGGUUAUUGCAUCCUAGAGGCAUUUAGUGGAGGAGAAAACUGCCCUGGUACCGCCAUAGCCCUAAGUGCUGCCCAGAGUUCUGAGCUCUCGAUGAGCACUUGGAACACGUCUGCCUGCAGCCUCCCUACACUUUUUUAUGACUUGUCCUACUUGUCAAGCCCAGCUUGUCCCACUUCUCCACAUGAGUCUUCCAGUGACAUCUUUGUGACCAUCUCCACCCCCUGGGUAAAUGCUCCACGCUGGGAGUCCACAAAAC
rnacentral:lncRNA from 1 species